GGAGAUGGUUUGGUUUGACAACUUGGAAAGCACAUCUACGGUGUGUUUGGUUUGAGGAAUCUAAAUGAGAUUGUCCAUCAUGAGUUGAUCCUGUCAAAUUUAGUGGGAUGACCUCAUUCUCCGUGAUUAUACUAUUUAUUAGUUUGUGAGGAUGAGGUGGUGAGGGAUCAACUCAUUUAAUUACACAAAUCAAAUAAAAAAGUGAGGAGUGAGAAGAUGAGAUAUGAAUCCAUUCCACAGUCCUUGCUUGAGUCAAAGUGCCCUCAGUUCCGAUCCCUAGCGUAUGAGGUUGCUCUGGAUUGCGGUAUCUACAACGUCCGUUCCUGCUUGCUUGAGCUGAAGCUGACCAGGUGCAGCAACUUAAGUUGGAUUUGGAAAUCGGCGUCAUCCUAUGUAAUCAUC
rnacentral:lncRNA from 1 species